AUCUGAGGACAUACAACCCUGAAUGCACCCGAUCUUGCAAGCUAAGUAUGGCCGGGCCUGGUUCAUACUUUAAUGGUAUGUCUUAGUAGUUUGAAGUCAUCUUCAGGCA
rnacentral:rRNA from 14 species